rnacentral:rRNA from 1 species
ACAAUGCAGUCGAGCGGAACGAUCCUAGCUUGCUAGGAGGCGUCGAGCGGCGGACGGGUGAGUAAUGCAUAGGAAUCUGCCCGGUAGUGGGGGAUAACUUGAGGAAACUCAAGCUAAUACCGCAUACGCCCUACGGGGGAAAGCAGGGGCUCUUCGGACCUUGCGCUAUCGGAUGAGCUUAUGUCGGAUUAGCUAGUUGGUGAGGUAAUGGCUCACCAAGGCGACGAUCCGUAGCUGGUCUGAGAGGAUGAUCAGCCACAUCGGGACUGAGACACGGCCCGAACUCCUACGGGAGGCAGCAGUGGGGAAUAUUGGACAAUGGGGGCAACCCUGAUCCAGCCAUGCCGCGUGUGUGAAGAAGGCCCUCGGGUUGUAAAGCACUUUCAGCGAGGAAGAAUGCUUGUCGGUUAAUACCCGGCAAGGGAGACAUCACUCGCAGAAGAAGCACCGGCUAACUCCGUGCCAGCAGCCGCGGUAAUACGGAGGGUGCGAGCGUUAAUCGGAAUUACUGGGCGUAAAGCGUGCGUAGGCGGCUUGGUAAGCCGGUUGUGAAAGCCCCGGGCUCAACCUGGGAACGGCAUCCGGAACUGUCAGGCUAGAGUGCAGGAGAGGAAGGUAGAAUUCCCGGUGUAGCGGUGAAAUGCGUAGAGAUCGGGAGGAAUACCAGUGGCGAAGGCGGCCUUUCUGGACUGACACUGACGCUGAGGUACGAAAGCGUGGGUAGCAAACAGGAUUAGAUACCCUGGUAGUCCACGCCGUAAAACGAUGUCGACUAGCCGUUGGGGUCCUCGAGACCUUUGUGGCGCAGUUAACGCACUNANGUCGACCGCCUGGGGAGUACGGCCGCANGNUUAAAACUCAAAUGANUUGACGGGGGCCCGCACAAGCGGUGGAGCAUGUGGUUUAUUUCGAUGCAACGCGAAGAACCUUACUACCCUUGACAUCGUGCGAACCANCAGAGAUGGAUGGUGCCUUCUGGA